GGUGUGCCCACACGUUCUUAUAUAAAUGUUUAGGCACACAUAUGAAUAUGUGUACUCAUCCAUACACAUUUGUGGGGAGCACUCAUCAGGCUCUUCUCUAAGCUGCUCCAAGCCUAGUACCUGUCUCAACUUCCUGAGUGUCUUAAACCCACAUAAAUGGCUAGCACUCACUGCCAUCAGGGCUCUUUAAGGGGCAGGACUUUCCUUGACCUCUGGGCUGGGUCACAGCCUGCUUCUCCCACCUUUACUAGCUCCCUAGUCUCAGCUCAGGCACCAGCCACCAGGAAAGCCCCUUCCAGGGGACUGGGAAAGUCACUUUCAGAGCCCAGCUUCCACUGGCCUGUGCGGACAGCCUGCCAGGCCUGGAACUAGAGAACUCUGCUGAGGAGAAGCAGCAGAAUGUAACCUACAGGAUAUCGAUGUGUGUUGUCUUUGACACUGGUCUUCACCUCACACCUGGAGCAUCUGGGAGAAGAGGUCUGGAUGGAGAGGAAUCACAUUCUGCUUACUACUUCCAGGAAUGGAUUCCUUCCCACAAGAUUGGUAGUUCUUUAAAAUUUGGGAUGAAAGAUCUCGCCACCGUUCUUAUUAGCAUAUAUUAAUUGUACAGUGUACUUUAAUUAUGCUCAUUUCCCAUCACUCUAAUCUUCCGAUUUUGCUCCCCUCUUCUCAGACAGUCUGAGAUGAGAAAUUCAUUCCUUAUGAAUGUCAAGAUUGGUGUUGUGCCAAUGAAGGGAGUUGAGAUUUGUGGGCACCGACUGUCUUAGAACUUGCGCUAAAAGCAUCGGUUGAAUUUUCCUUAAUAUUUAGUUAUAUUUAGGAAACAUAAAGACAUCCCAUGCUUUGAAAUAUCUAGUCCUAUUUAAGAGAGAUUUUCUGAGUGAAAGGCCACCAGGCGACAUCAACUGUCUAGAUUGUGCUGCCGAAGUGGGAUUUGAUUCCAGGAACACAAACAGUCCCAGAAAGCAGAAUGAAACACAGAGUCAAGCAUCUAAAUGGACGAAGAGAGCUGUAGGCAUCAGAAAACGACUCUGCCUCAUACCCCUGAAGACCUGUUGCUGUUUCCUGCAGGCAUGGAGAAAGCCAACUUUGGAGUCCAGAAAAGAACCUGGGUCCCAAGUUAAGUUGUGAAGAAUGGGGAGCCCAAGAUAAGGUAGCAGCAGAUUUGCCGCCUCCUACUUGCUCUCUCCUCAAGAUGAGGCCUUCCUUCUCUUUGAAUCCUUUUUUGUAAGGAUCCUCAUCCACAGUUUCAUUUCUUGUCAUCAUCAUCAUCAUCAUCAUCAUCAUCAUCUUAAUGUAUGAAUGCCAUGAAGACACAGACAUUCAGAUCACAGCAGAUGGGAUUUCCAAAUUGGUGCUAUACCUGUGCUUUCAACAGGUCAUACGCCAGUUCUACUGACCACCUAUUCUAACUGAUGAUACACGUUCCAGACCAAUGGUUUCCAAGGGAAGUCCCAUUAUUAGGACUUGUUAUAUAUAAAACAGUUCCUUGGUUAUAGGUAGUGCUUUGGAAAAAGCUUAGUGGUGUAGGUUUAAAAAUGGUGGCUCUUGGCAGAUACAAUGUAGACGGAAAAAAAGAUAUGUUGGAAUAUCACUUACUUUGUUUGAAAAAUUCCAUUUAUUUAAUGUAAAUAGUAUCACUAGAAAACUGCUCAGAUUUUCCUAGGCACAGUAAAAAAAAUCAGCGUAAGAAUUGGUAUUUUAUACACACACACACACACACACACACACACACACACACACACACACACACAAAAUAGCAUUCUACUUCCUCCAGGAACCCCAACUUCCUUCUUUUACUUCCCCCAGGAAGUGAUGGGAUCUCAAAUCUUAAGACCUCAUUAUGGAUCAAACAAUGUAAACAAAUGUACAAAGAAUGUGAGAUUAAUUUUGCUUAUAACUUGGCUGCUUGAGGUAUACCUCGAGAACUGGUCUCUCUCUCUCUCUCUCUCUCUCUCUCUCUCUCUCUCUCUCUCUCUCUCUCUCUCUGAAUUAGUUUGAUAUAGUCCCUAAUAAAAAACAAAUUAAAAAUCUUUUACAGCUCUGACCAUGGAGUAGGGGGGGAGUUAAUGUGGUAUGUUGGUUAUAGAGGAGGCUUGAUGGAUCGCCAAAGCCAGCUCUUAAUGUCUUAUGGAGAAGUCAAAAGACUGUGUGUAAAGUUUAUAGGUCUUUUCCCAAGAGCUUCAUGUAUUCUAAUUUAUUUAAGUUUGAAAUGACUCAGUGUGCUUUUAAAAAAAGCACAUGAACUUGGUAGGAAAAAUGGUGGGGGAAGAGGGGAGGAACUGGGGGAAAGGAAUGGUGUAUAUAGUUGAUCAAAGCACAAUAUAUGCAUGUACAACAUUCUCAAUAAAGAAGAAAAAAAUUUUCACAUGAAAAGUUUUCAUUUUAAAAGAAAACGUGCAGAGUUGUUUUAUAAA